AAUGAACGUUGGCGGCAUGGAUUAGGCAUGCAAGUCGAGCGAGAAGUGUAGCAAUACACGGAAAGCGGCGGAAGGGAGAGUAAUACGUGGGAAUCUGCCCUUAGACCUGGGAUAGCAGCGGGAAACUGCUGGUAAUACCAGAUAAUGUCUAUGGACCAAAGGUGUGAUUCCGUCUAGGGAUGAGCCCACGUCCUAUUAGCUAGUUGGUAGGGUAAUGGCCUACCAAGGCGAUGAUGGGUAGCGGGUGUGAGAGCAUGACCCGCCUCACUGGGACUGAGACGCCGCCCAGACACCUACGGGUGGCUGCAGUCGAGAAUCUUCGGCAAUGGGCGCAAGCCUGACCGAGCGAUGCCGCGUGCGGGAUGAAGGCCUUCGGGUUGUAAACCGCUGUCGAGGGGGAGCAAGUGCAUCAGGGUUCUCCCUGGUGUUUGAGCGAUCCGCAGAGGAAGCACAGGCUAAUUCCGUGCCAGCAGCCGCAGUAAUAC
rnacentral:rRNA from 1 species